GUAUUAAUUGCGUGUUAUCGCAAGAGACAUUCUACACUGUAUCGAGUUUGUGUGAAAACGCAAGCCCCCCCUCUGAACGAGCCAAAAGGGGGACCCACGCGGUGGUGCACAGGGUGAGAUGGAUUGUGUGAGAGCACUUGGGCGUGCACGACCGAAAAGGUCAGCGACAGCCCUCGCACCUCGGUUUUACAAUAAUGAUCCUUCCGCAGGUUCACCUACGGAAA
rnacentral:misc_RNA from 1 species